UGGUUUUUCUUCAAGUUGUCUAAACCUUUCACCUUUUACUAAAGAUUUCCAUGGAGAGAAGCAGUUAU
rnacentral:snRNA from 1 species